AUCUUGAGACAAGAUCUCGCUCUGUCUGUUUGGCUAGAAUGCAGUGGCAUAAUCCCAGCUCGCUGCAACCUCAAUCUCCAGGGCUCAAGCGACCCUCCCACCUUGGACUCCCAAAGAGUGCUAAGAUUACAGGCAUGAGCCACUAUGCCCAGCUGGCAUUUAUUUUCUUAAAGAAAAAAAAAAUCUAAAUACUUGGGGGAAAUGGGAGUUGAGCAAAAGACUGACACUAACAGCAGAAUGAAUCAUUUUUAUAUCUUCUUUACCUUCUUUACUGGGAAAGGUGGCUGGCUCAGCAGGGAAGGAGUGUAUGAGGAGACUGUGUAAAAUGUGUCUUGUCGCGUUGUUGGUAAGCCGCUAAGCAAAUGUCUUUAACAUUAAUUUGAAAUUAGGUCUUGACAAAAUCUUGAGAAAUUAAAACAGGAAAAUAGAUAUUUGUACUCUAGGAUGAUAAUUAAAAUUGUAAUAUGAAGAGUAAAUUGAGGGGUCAUAUUGAAAGGGAAUAAUAGUAGAAGACAAAAAGAAAACAAGGAACCAAACAAAACUUCAGCUCCUCUAAUGGCAUGCACAGAACAUAGAAGUUUCUGAUGAAGGAACUGGCAAAAAAGACAGAAAAGGAACUGCUGGGGUAAAAUGGCAACAUGCUGGGAGAACACAGGUUUGCAGCUCUUGUGGGAGAAAUACUUUCAAGAAGAAAGAAGUAGUUAAUAAUGCAAAAUACUCAGGUGAGCACCAGGGAAUAAAGGAUGGAGAAAUAUUUUGAAUUUUUCAGGACAAUAUUUAGUGUGAGUAAAUUUAGAAGGCACAAAAACUGAACAGCUGAAAUGAUCUGUGAGAAGAUAGAUAUUGUCAUGGACUGAAGACCAAGGUUACAUGGAAAGAGAAAUGGACUGGAUAAUAGUUGAAAAGAUUAGACAGCAAACAUGUUUUUCUUUUAAGAAAAGAUAAGAAGAUUGAUUGAGGUCAAAGUGCAAUGAGUCAAGGAUAGUGACAACUGGAAGAACAGGAAGCAGUUUGGCGGUGGCGGAUAGGUGAGGCACAAGGACGUCAGCACUGGAUUCAGACAAACCGGCGUGUAUUGCGCGUGUACUUUGGGUGGCCCUGUGCUGCGUCAGCUGGAAGGGAUCCAGAGAAAAAGACAGAGCCCUCUUUGAAGACAUCCAGAGAGAGAUCUAGGAUGUUGGGAAGGAACAAAGAAAUUCAGGCAUCUCUCCUGAGAAGAGAAAGGGAGUAGAAUGCUCCAUCAUGAUGCUAACCACAAGAAUUGACUUGACGGGACAGAAUCAAGGGGAAGAACGUCAGUGAAACUUCUGGUGACAAUCACCCACUUAGGUCUUUAUUUUCCAUUUUUGCAUUUGUCAUACUUUUCAUAGUAAUGAAAACAAAUAUGUUGUGUAUAAUACUGGAUGUCAGCCUAUACAUUUGGUUUUUAAAUUUGGGGAAGGAAACUUCUUUCCACUCGAUUGAGCAGUUUCAUCUUUGCAAUGUAUUUAUUCUUUCUGAACUUUUGGGUAGUGUCCUCGUAUUAGUCUGUUUUCAUGCUGUUGAUAAAGACAUACCCAAGACUGGGUAAUUUAUACAGAAAAAGAGGUUUAAUGGGCUCACAGUUCCACAUGGCUGGGGAAGCCUCACAAUCAUGGCAGAAGGCAAAAGGUCUGUCUUGUGUGGCGGAAGGCAAAAGGCCCGUCUUAUGUGGUGGCAGAAAAGAGAGAAUGAGAGCCAAGUGAAAAGGGAAAUCCCUUAUAAAAUCAUCAGAUUUUGUGAGACUUAUUCACUACCACGAGAACAGUAUGGGGGAAACUGUCCCUGUAAUUCAAUUAUCUCCCACCAGGUCCCUCUCACAACACGUGGGAAUUAUGGGAACUUCAAUUCAAGAUUAUAUUUGAGUGGGGACACAGCCAAAUCAUAUCAGUCCUAGAAAAUUCUUCAGGACUGGCUCUUUUUACUUUUUGGCAAUUUAGCCCUCCUGGUCAUGAACGAGUUGUCAGAUUAGCUUCUCCUAAUUUCACACUAUGAUGGGGAGAAGGAAAUGCAGGUUUUCUGCUCUUAAAAGAUUCCACAUACUGUUUGGACCCUCCCGUGCAUAGUGGAGAGAAUAACUUUAUUCAUUCUGUGAUUAUCCAGUAGGAAGUCUUAUCAGACAGGAGGCCCUCUGGAGGGUCCUAGCAACACUGACCUAAACCUCAGAGCACUCGAGUGAACACCCAAAGUCCUCUGUGGAGAAAUGAUGUAGAGUCUUGAAUGGGAAUAUGUUGCUAAUGGGUCAUUAGUAAUUUGAGUGUCUUUUCAGCUGGCGUCAAAACAGGCCCUAUUCCUCAGUACCCGGUAUCAAGAGAAGACAACUUUCAGAAGCCCAUUGCCUAGACUUGGAGGAGGCUCUUAAUAUGUUUUUUUUCCACAUUUCAUAAAUUCUUAGGAUUUUUUAAAUUUAAUAUCCUUUAUGAACUAAGGUCAACAAAACUUUAAUCAGUGAAUAUAUUUUUGGUUCUGAGAGUUAGAACACUCCUCCCUUUUAAAACAAAAAAGUUUUUAGAAUUUUGUUGUUAAAUAUAUCUGGACAUAUGAAGAAAACUGAAGUUAUCAGCCUUUUCAAUUGAAUCCUGACACUGAAAUUGUCUUUUGAAACUUACUUUUGUGUAACUAUCCUGGCUCACUGGCACUCUGCUCUGGAAUUAAAUUUCCCUAAUUUCUGUCAACUUUUUGAAUCUGCAACAGUGGGAGCAUAUGAUAUGCUGUAUGAGUAACUGCACAAGUUAUUGUUAGAAAAAUUCCUACUGAUAAGCCCUAUGAGUUUUAUCUGUAACUGUGCAAGUAACCUAAGUAUCUUGUGGAAUUAGAGGCAAUAGUCUGUUUUACAAAGAGUAGGAGAGAGAGAGAAAGAGGUAGAGACAAAGACCAAGACCAGGAGAGGAAGAAGGAGAGAGACAGAAAGGGAGGCAGAGGGAAGAAAGGAAAGAAGAAAGAAAGAAAACAUUAGCAUAAUUUUCCAAGAAUAGGCAUCUCAGUGUCUUGCCUAGAAAUCAAGGUCUUCCUCUGCUCAGAAGCACAGAAACUGUCCAGGAGGGGAAGCUCUAAGUAACGAUAACAAUAGAAACUGAUUGGCUUGACAAUGAGAUAAGACCAGGUAUGUUCCCGGUGACCCACAGUGAAGGAAAAUUCAGUUUUUGCACAGUUUCACUGUGUGGAGAGAAUAUAGCACCAUUACAAAACUUCUUUUAAAGAAAAGACACUUUGGGAAUUGGCCUCAUCUGUUUUUUUGUAGGCAGUUCAGAUAGGAAUAAAGGAAAGAAGAAAACAUCUCCUUCCUUAUUCCCCAUCUGUUUAUCUCACUAUUUCUCAUCCUCCUUACAGACACUCAGCUGGAGGUUCACAGAUCCAGUUUCUUGUAGAUUGCUCCUCAAUGUUGUGGGUAAUUUUAGGCAAAAUAUGCAAAUUUCUUGUUUGGCAUAAGGUUUUUCUUUCUCCUGCUAAAACAAAAAUGUUUCCGCUACAAACCAUUUAAAUACUUCGUAGGGAUUUUGUCAGGAUUAAUGAGGCAACAGACAGUCACAGGUGAUUAUACUUAUUUCAAGAAUGCAUUAUUUUAGUAUGUCUAUUUGGCAUUACAUUGAUUUUUUUUCAGGUCAUUAGCUUAUUAAUUUCUACUAGACAGCAGAGCUGCUGUGUCUUGUUAUUUUUGGAGUUAAAAUGGUGUAAUAUUCUCAGAGAGCUAGACAUCAACUUAGUGAACUGGAACUGGAGAAUAAUUUAUUCUUUGCUACCAUAGAUGUUAAUUAUUUACCACAAGACAGAGCUGGGCAAGAAGAAAUCUCAGAACUUUAGUUUGGAUACAGACUUUGCUUUUUAUGGUCUGUUUCAAUCCCUUUAUUUUACAGAUAAGUAGAUUAAAACAAUUAUGAUUAAGUAUCUUCUCUUAUGUCACACAGUUGUUAUUGAUUGGUUUAUACUUAGGAGCUAGAGCAAGUGUUCCCAGGGAGUACAUUUUGUACUGAAUAUAGCUGUCUUUGUGAAGAGAAAAAUAACAAGAUUUGUAGGUACUGAAAGUUACCCAGAAAUCUCACAUUAGUCUAGGAAGAGGUAUGUAUUAUGAUGCUCAGGGUUACUGUGGCUUGAUAUAAUUAAACAGAUGUAUAUUCGUCUCCUAGAGUCUUCAAAAUAAUGAUAGUGGUGACGAUGACGAUGAUGAUAGUUAGCAGUUUUUAAAGGCUUACUCUGCAACAGGAAUUAUACCUAGAGGUUUAUACACAUUAUCUCAUUUAUUUCCUAAAAUGAUGCCAUGAGGUUGGAUCUAUUAUUUCUUCCAGUCUACAGAAGAAGAACCUGAAGCUUAGAGAUAUUUGGUAAAUUGUUGCAACUUCACUCUGUAAGUAAAUGUCAGAUCUGACCAAUAUGAUGCCACCCUAUGCCUUGUCACAGUAUUAUUCUGCUAUACGUUUGAGAAUCUGCCAAAUUUUCUUAGGCUCAUUAUCCACUACCACCAUAUUCUGACUUGUGGUGGAAUUAAUAAUAUUUCUAGAAGAAAUAUUUGCAAUAUUUAAGCAAAUUUUAGAAUUUUUAUACUAGAAAUAAGAUCUUGGACAUAAUGUAACUGUAUGUCUAGGUGGUGCUAAGUAACGAGACUUUCUGCACUGAGUUUUAGAAUGAAGAAUGGGAAGGAAAGCUCUUCCUAAAUAAAGCAGGAAACAUGGAUACCAGCUUACCAUUUGUAACCAGAGGUGUUUCUUAAUCUUUUUCAGAUCAGUUGUACAAAAGUUAAGACAGCAAUAAUGGUUUUUAUAGAAUGUUCUCAUGACGGUUAAAUAUUAAGAUGUAUGUGAAGUACAUAGCCCAGUACUAGAAAGAUCUGGCGUCUCUUCUGAUUAUUUAUUGCCUGUGCUGUACCAGUUAAUGUUUGGAAUAUCAGUACUGUAUUCAACAGAUAUCUAUUUGAUAUCUAGUAUGUGAUUGGGCCAGUAAUAGGCCCUAAGGGGACAGUACUAUUUUUAUCUUCAUGGUGCUCACUUUCUAGUUGAAGGAGGUAGAAAAAAUAAUUAUUGCGGGUAGUGAUAAGUGAAACAAAAAUAAUAAGACAGGAUUGGGGUAGAGUGACAUGAAUUGGGGAGAAGGAAGGAUUCCAUGAGAUCAGUUGUGAAAGGAGGCUUCUAAGAAAGCAACACUGGAGUUGAGAAGGGAAUAAGAAAGAGCCAACUACCUGGAGAUUGGUAGAAGGAUGAAAAGACAUGCACAAGAUUUGAAGAAGAGUUUAUGAAGAUGAAGGCUUCCAAUGAACUGAGAUUUCUACAUCAUGGGGAGGGUAAUAAAAAUGCUCUUUAAAAUAUGUUAAACAAGGUAUCUGUAUCUAUGUCUGCAUGAAAGUAGAGAGGAGACAGAAUAGCUGAUGCAACAGAUGACAGUGAAUAAUCGAGUAUCUACAGCUUCUACAAUGAUCAUCAACCAGGUUCUUUCUGCCCAACUGCAGCAAGUCAAUCACUGAGAUAAUGGAUUUUGCAAAAGAGAAGACUAUUCAUGAGGCAGCCAGUGAGGAGGUGAAGAACAGGUCUCAACUCCACCUCCCAGAAGAUAAGGCUUAGGGAUAUUUAUAGGUUAUAGAAGUGGGGUCAGCUAAGAUGUGGGAAAAGGUGAUUGUCAGUGGGGGAAAAAUGAAGCAAUCAGUGAUCUAUGCAAACAUAGUUGGGAUAUGUGGCAUUUCAUAGGACACAUUUGCAGAAAAUGAUGGUAUUAUGAUCUGAGGGUGGAAUUUUUGGUCCUCUGAUGUCAAAAUGCUCUCCGGCAUUUACAGAGGCCCAGCUGAAGAGUCAACCAGUUUGAACUGGUCAGGAGCUGUCCCACAUUCCUGAAAAAUAACUGAAGUGACCAUUACCAUGGUGAUUUAUAAAUGUUCAAUUUAUUAUGCCGCUAAUGAAGGUUAAGUUUCAGCGUUCAGUGGUGCAGCCUUCAAUUACUGUGGCUUUCAGCUUCAUGAAAAAAAAAAAAAAAAAAGAAAAGAAAAAGAUAAAAAGCAGGUAACCAAAAGCAAGCAGGGCAUGCUAAAUUUGGCAGACCUAAUCAGAUGAAUCCUCUGUUUCACAGUGCUAUUUUGUUUAUAAUCUUCUUUAUCCAGGAGAACAUUAUUUGAACUAAAAAGAACAAAGCAAGAAUGGUCUGAAAUCACAAGGGGUUCAGAAGAAUGAAACAGAUGAUCUGGAUACUUUUAGAAGGAGUAAUAAUUAUUAAUCCCAACAAAUGACAUUCUUCAGUGUCUAAGCAUUUUCUUUUGUGAUUAAAGAGCUGCCGUGAACAAACCUGGAGGAGAACGUGAUGGGUACCAGAGACCAGAAAUUUACACAUGGCUAUGUUUUCAAAGGACAGGUCAAGAUGUUCCAGCUACUUGGGAAGCUGAGACAGGAUAUCUGCUUGAGCCCAGGAGUUCGUGGCUGCAGAGAGCUGUGAUCACACCACCGCACUCCAGCCAGGGCAACAGAGUGAGACCCUGACUCCAAAAGCAAAAACAAAAGAGCAAAAACGAGAUUCCAAUGUAUACUCCCACCAAUUAAUUUGAAGGUGACCAUAUCCCUCCUAUCAAAUACUGUCACUCAUUUACAUCUUUGCCAAAUGUGGGAAAACAUAAAGUUUGGCAACCCUAUAUUGACUCCACCAUGCCUUGGGAAAGGCAGCCCGCAUCAGUGGCAGGAAAUAUUGGUGGAGCGAGCUGGGACUUGCAGGUGACCAAGAAGGGGGAUCCCGGAACCGGAAUUGUCUCCCUUGGCGUUCCGGAAGUAGAAGCAGAGUCAUUGCUGGGUGGCGCCAGCCCUCAGACUUGCCUCUUUGCAGUAGGAAGAAGGCCUCCCCACAUACCUUCCCACACUCAUCACCUUAAGCCAGACUCGGUGUCCAGUGAAUAUGACCAUCUCUUGCCCAUUUUCUAAUGAGUGUUUUCAUUAAUGAGUUAUAAGAAUGUGGUGGGUAAAUCUAUGGGCUUUGAACUAGUGAAUCAACUUGGUUUCAGAAUCUGGCACUGCUACUUACUAGUGAAUUUAAGCAAGUUAUUUCACCUUUCAGAGUGUCAGUUCCCUCAUGCAUACAAGGAAGAUAAAAAAUAAUGUAUACAAAAGUAUUGGAGUAAUUAAUACAUGGAGAACUACAUGUAAAGCGUUUAGCAUGAUGUCUGACAUAUUAAGCAUCCAAUAUUAGUUGCUUGCAGAAUUAUUAGUAAAAGAGAUUGCUUCUGAAAGCCAUUCCAAUUCUUAAAUUUUAUAAUGCCACAUUUGAGGUCACCUGAAGUACGUGUAUAACAUGUGUACAUUUUUGCGAUUUAUUUUUUCAAUUCCCAGAUUAGAGGCAUAGAGAUAUCCUAGCAAGGACUCCAAGUGUGUAGAUCUGUCAAAGAUAUGAACAUGAAAGAACAGCUUAUUUCAAUAAACCCACUUUACAUA